AUUGAACGCUGGCGGCAGGCCUAACACAUGCAAGUCGAACGAGUGGCGGACGGGUGAGUAAUGUCUGGGAAACUGCCUGAUGGAGGGGGAUAACUACUGGAAACGGUAGCUAAUACCGCAUACUAUCAGAUGUGCCCAGCUGGGAUUCGCUAGUUGGAGGGGUAACGGCUAACCAAGGCGACGAUCCCUGGCUGGGCUGAGAGGAUGACCAGCCACAAUGUGACUGAGACACGGUCCAGACUCCUACGUGAGGCAGCAGUGGGGAAUAUUGCACAAUGGGCGCAAGCCUGAUGCAGCCAUUCCGCAUGUAUGAAGAAGGCCGUCGGGUUGUAAAGUACUUUCAGCGGGGAGGCGUUACCCGCAGAAGAAGCACCGGCUAACUCCGUGCCAGCAGCCGCGGUAAUAC
rnacentral:rRNA from 1 species